rnacentral:rRNA from 1 species
UACGUAGGGCGCGAGCGUUGUCCGGAUUUAUUGGGCGUAAAGAGCUCGUAGGCGCUUGUCGCGUCGACUGUGAAAACUCGGGGCUCAACUCCGAGCUUGCAGUCGAUACGGGCAGGCUAGAGUUCGGUAGGGGAGACUGGAAUUCCCGGUGUAGCGGUGGAAUGCGCAGAUAUCGGGAGGAACACCCGUGGCGAAGGCGGGUCCCUGGGACGGUACUGACGCUGAGACGCGAAAGCGUGGGGAGCGAACAGG